ensembl:lncRNA
CAGAAUGUAUGUGAAAAUUCUCAUACUCACCCUACAAAACCCCUUGAAGUUCCCAAGGCUCUGUGACUGCUCAGCCUCACUGACCUUUGUUUUCUCUGAACUGUGAACAUAUAAACCUUCAAAAGCCCAAUUUCCCAUUGAGAAAAACCAGGCAGUCAUGGGGUAAGAGAAUAAAUCUUCAAAAGCUGAAUCUUUACCUACUGAUAACAUAAAACUCUGUUUUCUAGGCUGGGGAAAAAGCUGGACCAAUAGCUAUUUCGAAUGUUGCAUAAAUCCAACGAUAAUAAUUUUUGCUCAUCUGCCAUGUGAUCUGUCUUUUGUGCUCUGUUGAAAGACAUCAGAUGAUGAAGUGGACCCUGGCAAGGGCAGCCUGCCCUUUUUAAAGGCAAGUUUAAAGACUUUCAGUGUCUGCCUCUGUGACCUGGAGCUGGUCACCAUUAAGAAAGGAAGAGAGUUAUCAGUGGGAAGUGUUCAUUCUGUUCUCUGCAACAACUCCAGAGCGGCACCAUGUGAUAAGCCAGAUGGGGACUAUGUACAUAUGCCCACAAUAACGGAACUUUGUGAUGAGGACAAGCAGGCUAACAUACAAGGAAACCGAUGCAUGCAGAGAUUAAAUACCUUGCUCAAGAUCUCAAAGACAGUAAGUGAUAUAGUUACAAAUACAAUCCAGGUUUUCUCAAGCCCAUUCCAGUCUUCUCUGCUCUGCCCUGCUCUACCCCACCUCAUUGUCACCACUCGCUGUUGAUGUCUAUUUUAAAUUGCCCUUGACUAAUUCUCUGAACAAUUUUCUGUGCCGAUAUUUUUUCUUUUGUUUUUUUUUCCCCCGAAAUGUUUUACAAUCUCACUAAGCAACAUACCAUGUGAUUCAGAAGGUCUUAUCUUCAUAAGCUCAUGUAAUGUGGCUACCAGUAUUUGCCGAUCAGUUCCUUUGCUUUCCAUAUCACUAAUGAUAGCUUUGCAUACCUCUUUCUUCCAGCAGCAGGAACAAAAGAGAAACCUGGUCAUUGCACCAGGGUAAGCAGUGUGAUAUGCAGAGAAGUCUGAGAGUGAAGAGACCUGAAUUAUUGUGUUGAUUCUGCCAUUACUUUGACAUGAAAUGUUGGACAAGGCAGUAUGCUGCCACAGGCCUUAGUUUUCUACUCUACAGGGAUUGUAAUGCUUUUUUUGACCUCAGAGGGUUGAGGUUAGCACAAAAUACAUGCAGGAUUUGAAAAUACUUAAACUCUAUAUUAAUGUAAAUAUUACCAAGUCUUUUUAGAAUCCUUGCUAGCACUAAGUGUGUGUGUGUGUGUGUGUAUGUGUGUGUGUGUGGUGGAAACUGGGUGUGAGUAAAGAAACUUCUCAAUGGCUGUCCUGGAUCAAACAUAUUUGAUUUAUAUUUCUAUGUGUCUGUGAGCACACACAUUAUAAUUCUGUGCCUGUGGGAUGGAGAGUGUAGAUGAGAAUGAAGAAGGAUGUAAGAUACUACCUUACAUUUCAGGGACUUGAUACAUUUGUAAUGUAUACAUAGACUCAAUUUUCCAAGGACUACUAUCUACCCAGUUAUGUAUAUUCUGGGCACAAAACCAGAUAGGAUUUCUCCAUUUCUGGUAUCUGCAGAAGAACAGAAAUAUCUAGAUUUAUAGUUGCUAUGGUUUGAAUGUCCUCUCAUAAAUUCAUGUUGAAAUCUAAUCGCCAUUGUGAUGGUAUUAAGAGAUGGGACCAUUAAGAGAUGGUUAGACCAUGAGGUCCCAUUCUCACAAAUGUAUUAAUGCCAUUAUUGUGAAAGUAGGUUGGUUAUCGUGGGAGUGGUUUCCUAGGUGAGUUUGGCCAGCUCCCUCCGUCUGGUAUGCUUGUUUGCCCUUCUACUUUCUUCCAUAGGAUGACUCAGCAUGAAGGUAUUCCCCAGAUGCCAGUGCCAUGCUCUUGGCUUUCUCAGUCUCCAGAACCAUGAACCAAAUAAACUUCUGCUCAUUAUAAAUUACUCAGACUCAGGCAAUCUGUUACAGUAGCAGAAAAUAGACUAAGGCAAUAAUUUAACACAGAACUCAGUGAAGAUAAAAAUAAAAUCAUCUACCAGUACACACUUAAUGGAAUGGCCAAAACCUAGAACAUUGACAAUACCAAACACAGGCCAGAAUGUGAAACAACAGGAGUUGUCAUUCAUUGCUGGUAGAAAUGAAAAAUGGCACAGCCACUUUGGGAGAAAGUUCAGUAGUUUCUUUUACAAAACGAAAUACAUCCUUACCAUAUAAUCCAAUAAUCAAAUUCUUUGGUAUUUACCCAAAGACGUUGAAAACUUAUGUUUACACAAAAACCUGCACACAGAUGAUUAUAGUAGUUUUAUGUAUAAUUUCAAAAACUUGAGAACAACCAAGAUGUCCUUCAGUAAGGGAAUGGGAUAAACUAGUACAUCCAGACGAUGAAUUUACUAAUGAAAACUUUACUUUUCAAGUCAUGAAAAAAACAUGGAGGAGCCUCGAAUGCAUAUUACUAAGUGAAAGAAGCCAAUCUGAAAAGGCCACAUACUGUGUGAUUCCAACUAUAUAACAUUUUGGAAAAGGUGAAAUUAUAGAGAUAGUAAAAAGAUCAACGGCUUCCAGGGGUUAGGGAUGGGGAAGAUAAAAAUAGGUGGACCUCAGAGAAUUUUUGGGGCAGUAAAAAUACUCUGUAUGAUAGUAUACUGAUGGUCAUUAUACAUUUUUUCCAAACCCAAAGACUGUACAACACCAGAGUGAACCCUAAAUAAACUAUAGACUUUGCGUGAUUGUGAUGUGUCCGUGUAAGUUGAUCAGUUGUAACAAAUGCACCACUUUGGUGGGGAUGUGGAUAAUGGGAAAUGUUAUGCACGGGAGGGCAGGGGGUAUAUGGGAAAUCUCUGUAACUUCAUCUUGAUUUUGCUAUAAACCUACAAGUGCUCUAGUGCUUUAAAAAAUAAUGUUUUUAAAAUAAAAUAAAGUUAUCUGAGAAUAAAUAAUACCCAGUGAUGAUAAUAUUACAUUGAUGAUGCAUGUUUACAAUGAUGAUAAUAUUUACAUAGAACGUACUAAAAAGAAUCCUGAAUCUAGUCUCUACUUCCUAUUCAUUAAAGAACUAGUGAUA